CCCACUAGAAUUGACCCAACACCCGGCGGAACUGCCGGGUGGUGACCCGAGGAGC
rnacentral:ncRNA from 1 species